UAUUAUGAAGCAUGUUGGGUUGUGUUUUUAUUUAUUUAUUUCUUUGUAUUGUCUAGGUAAUAUCUUAUGUUUGUAUUAAGUUGUUGUGUGAUGCUACUACCCUACUUUAAUUGCCCCUUGUGGGAUUAAUAAAGUUGUUAACUUAACUUAACUUAUCUGUUAAGAUAAUUACAUUUUGCACAAUUU